UACGUAGGGGGCAAGCGUUGUCCGGAAUCAUUGGGCGUAAAGCGCGUGUAGGCGGUCCGGUAAGUCCGCUGUGAAAGUCGGGGGCUCAACCCUCGGAUGCCGGUGGAUACUGUCGGGCUUGAGUACGGAAGAGGCGAGUGGAAUUCCUGGUGUAGCGGUGAAAUGCGCAGAUAUCAGGAGGAACACCAAUAGCGAAGGCAGCUCGCUGGGACGGUACUGACGCUAAGGCGCGAAAGCGUGGGGAGCGAAUAGG
rnacentral:rRNA from 1 species